UACGAAGGGGGCUAGCGUUGCUCGGAAUCACUGGGCGUAAAGGGCGCGUAGGCGGCUUGCACAGUCAGGCGUGAAAUUCCUGGGCUCAACCUGGGGACUGCGCUUGAGACGUGUGGGCUUGAGUGGGGAAGAGGGUCGUGGAAUUCCCAGUGUAGAGGUGAAAUUCGUAGAUAUUGGGAAGAACACCGGUGGCGAAGGCGGCGACCUGGUCCUUGACUGACGCUGAGGCGCGAAAGCUAGGGGAGCAAACGGG
rnacentral:rRNA from 1 species